AGCAAGUAAAGUGUUCAUCUCUCCCACAUCUCUCUCUCUCCCACAUCUCUCUCUCUCUCUCUUCCCCUCGUAUCAGCCAACGUCGUCGUCACGAUCCACGACGAUUCAGCUCCGAACUACCAUCGAUUCUUGCUUCGACACCUCAUUCCUCUUCCUUCCCUCGUCCUCUCUCUCAAAUUCUCAACCUUUCCCCCUCCAAUUCAAAACCCUAACCUCCCCCAAUUCAACACCACCUCACCUCCUUUCGAGAUUCCACGACCUGGGUCUUGAUCCCAACCAAUCAAAUCUCAGAAGCCCUCAAUCUCUCUCCCCAAAGUCGCGACCUUUGAAAAUCUCGCCUCCGUUUUGAAUGGACGCAAUCAAGGCUUCCACGGAGUCAACCUCCCACACGGAAACCCUCAACGGCACCCACGAGUUCAAGAUCAGCGGCUACUCUCUAAUCAAAGGCAUGGGCGUGGGCAAAUACGUCGCCUCCGAGACCUUCACCCUCGGCGGAUACUCCUGGGCCAUCUACUUCUACCCGGAUGGUAAAAGCCCCGAGGAUAACUCUGUCUACGUGUCUCUCUUCAUAGCCUUAGCGAGCGAAGGAGCUGACGUCAGGGCUUUGUUUGAGCUCACGCUCGUUGAUCAGAGCGGUAACGAAAGGCAUAAGGUUCAUAGCCAUUUCGGGAGGACGCUCGAGAGUGGGCCUUAUACUCUUAAGUAUAGAGGAAGUAUGUGGGGAUACAAGCGGUUUUUCAAGAGGAGUCUUUUGGAGUCAUCUGACUAUUUGAAGGAUAAUUGUUUGUUGGUUCGGUGUUGUGUGGGGCUGGUGAAGUCAAGGACAGAGGGGCCGAGGAGUUAUAAUAUCCCUGUUCCGGUCUCUGAGUUUGGUCGUCAGUUUGGGAAGGUUUUGGAGAGUGGGAGAGGAGCUGAUGUGACUUUCCAUGUUGAUGGAGAGACGUUUCCUGCUCAUAAGCUGGUUCUUGCAGCUCGUUCUCCUGUUUUUAGAGCGCAGAUCUUUGGCCCGUUGAAGAGCCGUGAUACUGAAUGUAUUGACAUAGAAGACAUGGAAGCUCCCAUUUUUAAGAUGUUCCUACAUUUUAUCUACUGGGACGAAUUACCUGAUAUGCAAGACGUUAUGGGGACAGACUUGAAAUGGGCAGCGACUCUUGUGGCUCAGCAUCUGCUUGCGGCUGCAGAUCGUUAUGCUCUUGAACGACUUAGAACAAUCUGCGAGUCACAACUCUGUGAAGGGAUUAGCAUCAACACGGUUGCAACCACCUUGGCUUUGGCAGAGCAGCAUCAUUGUUUCCAGCUGAAAGCUGCUUGCCUCAAAUUCAUAGCUUCGCCAGAGAAUCUAAAAGCUGUGAUGGAAACCGAUGGGUUUGAUUAUCUGAAAGAAAGCUGCCCGUGCUUACUAAGUGAGCUUCUGGAGUAUGUGGCUAGGCUUAGUGAGCAUUCUUUAGCAUCUUCAGGGCAUGGGAAGGAGUUAUAUGUUGAGGGCUGUGACGUGAAUGGGAGACGAGUGAAGCAACGGUUACACUAAGUAGUAACUAACUCUUGAGGGUGAGAGUACUGAUGUUGGAUACAUUUGGUAGAGGAGUCAUGAUUUGUGUAUUUAUCAUUUGUAAAAGGAUUAGUGAUUGUAAUCUAUGUUGUCCAGUAAGUAGAGUGAAAACCACUUCUCUUCAGAAAAAAGUUUCAUGUUACUAAGUGAAUUGAGGACAAAGAGAAUAAUCGUCUUACUUUACGACA